rnacentral:rRNA from 1 species
UACGUAGGGUGCGAGCGUUGUCCGGAAUUAUUGGGCGUAAAGAGCUUGUAGGCGGUUUGUCGCGUCUGCUGUGAAAAUCCGGGGCUCAACCCCGGACUUGCAGUGGGUACGGGCAGACUAGAGUGUGGUAGGGGAGACUGGAAUUCCUGGUGUAGCGGUGAAAUGCGCAGAUAUCAGGAGGAACACCGAUGGCGAAGGCAGGUCUCUGGGCCACUACUGACGCUGAGGCGCGACAGCGUGGGGAGCAAACAGG